AUAAGCAACUGAACAUUUUUUCAAGCCAAAUGGCAGUUGGCCAAUUGUUGGCCAAUUUAGUCUGCGUUUGAGCAGCACUGCGUACGGUACACAUUAUUUGAGCCGUGUUUAGGUUUCCAGUGAAUUGCUUAACAAGAAAUGAUAAUACAAUUUAAUAAAAUCGUUAAUAUAAAGAAAAAAACAGAAAAAUGCUUGCUAACAGUGUGGAGAAGUGUUAAAUAAAAUUCUCACAAAACUACAAAAACACAGUGCAAUAACCAGUCAAGUGAAACGAAUAGCUGUUAAAAGCAACAACAGGAAGGGAUUUACGAGAAAAGCAAGCAAUACCAGCAGUAGCAACGAAAGACUGAAGUAGCGAACUUGGAUUUGAAAUACUCAUACCGUAUCUACAAAAGGGUGCUGCUAAUUUGAAAAAAAUUUCAGACAUCAAACUACAGACAUGAAAAAAGCCAGGCGAUGGCAGCUCAUAACGGCGUCUCUGUUUAUGCUGGUCACAAAUACAGUAGCAGUGGCGCCGUUCAAAAAAGUUUCAAUUGCCACAACAUCUGCGACGUCGACAACAACAACUAACACAACAACGGAAGCGCCCAGCAGUGAG